rnacentral:lncRNA from 1 species
UAAAAACUGUAAGCUGGGGAAGCACUGACAGCACAGGCCCAAUGACUCCUGGUUGCCUUGUAGCCUGUGACUCCUCCUGACCUUCAGAGGCACCAGGACCCAGACCAUUGGAUCAGAAGAGCUCUCAAGAUCAUAUAGUACAAGCCCCUCUUUGGAUGAACAUGCUGGGGAGGUCCAAGAAGAGGCCAAGCUUGCAUAACAAGUUAGUAACAGUGCCAGGUUUGGGCCCUAUAUCUAAGUCCUAACUCAAGGUUUUUUUCCUACAUUCUCUAGGGAGGCUGUCAGAUUAAACCUAUCUCCUCAAUCAGUACUGCUUUAUUGGAGUCUUAACUUGUUCGUUCACUCUGCAGACAGAUAUUGAGCAUCUGCUGUGCAUCAUCAUCGUCAGACUGGUGUAGGAGGCUGGGUGAGGGGGAUACAGAGAUGAACUAGAUCUUAUCCCUUCUUUGAAGCACAAGCUAUGGGGUGAGGGAAGCAGAUAGGGAGGGAAUAAUCCUCACCUGAUAUAAAAAAGAAGGUAUUGGAGUUCAUAGGAGGAAGAAUUCACAGGAGGACAGGAGAACCAGAC